UAGCAAUUGAACCUGUACAAGAGUCCAUGGAUGUAGCAUAAGGUGGGGAGGGGAAUAUUAGUACAGAUAUAGUUCCACCCAUUAAGAAACGGGGCCGAGGGCCUGCACGGGGCACACAAUUUGACCGCCUCCGGAAGGUGGGUAAGAUUCCUUUAGUUAUAAAGGAUGGCCAUAGAGGUCCAUCGUGCGAGCAUGCCUCAAUAUUUACGGGUCAAGUGACUUGGAUCAUUAAAAUAUAUGCCGACAUGAGGCAUGCAAGUUGGAGUUGUGUACCUGAGAAGGAGAAGCAAGAGCUAAUUGAUCGUGUUAGGGCGGACUUUGUUUUGGACUAGACGAAAGACAAUCAUAAAGAAAUGGUGAUAACGUAUCUUUCCGAUAAGUACAAUCACUAUCACUAUGAAUUGCACAAAGUAUAUUUAAAAUAUGCUUCGCAUGAGGAGGCCCUACGUGGUGGGACAGAAAUGGUGGACAAAGUCGUUUGGCAAUCGCAAUGCGAAAGGUGGGCUAGCGGAACAUUCAAGGAAAAGUCCCGAAGAAACAGUACGAAUCGUUCAAAACUGAAGGUGAAACAUACAGGCGGAAGGAAAUCCUUUGUUAGGAUUUUGGAAG